rnacentral:rRNA from 1 species
UACGUAGGGUGCUAGCGUUGUCCGGAUUUAUUGGGCGUAAAGGGCUCGUAGGCGGCGUGUCGCGUCGGGGAGUGAAAGCCCGCUGCUUAACGGCGGGUUGGCUUCCGGUACGGGCAUGCUGGAGUGCGGCAGGGGAGACUGGAAUUCCUGGUGUAGCGGUGGAAUGCGCAGAUAUCAGGAGGAACACCGGUGGCGAAGGCGGGUCUCUGGGCCGAUAUUGACGCUGAGGAGCGAAAGCGUGGGGGAGCGAACAGG